AUUGAACGCUGGCGGCAGGCUUAACACAUGCAAGUCGAGCGGGGUGAUGGUGCUUGCACUAUCACUUAGCGGCGGACGGGUGAGUAAUGCUUAGGAAUCUGCCUAUUAGUGGGGGACAACAUCUCGAAAGGGAUGCUAAUACCGCAUACGUCCUAUGGGAGAAAGCAGGGGAUCACUUGUGACCUUGCGCUAAUAGCUGAGCCUAAGUCGGAUUAGCUAGUUGGUGGGGUAAAGGCCUACCAAGGCGACGAUCUGUAGCGGGUCUGAGAGGAUGAUCCGCCAAACUGGGACUGAGACACGGCCCAGACUCCUACGGGAGGCAGCAGUGGGGAAUAUUGGACAAUGGGGGGAACCCUGAUCCAGCCAUGCCGCGUGUGUGAAGAAGGCCUUAUGGUUGUAAAGCACUUUAAGCGAGGAGGAGGCUCUUUUGGUUAAUACCCAAGAUGAGUGGACGUUACUCGCAGAAUAAGCACCGGCUAACUCUGUGCCAGCCGCCGCCGUAA
rnacentral:rRNA from 1 species